AACGAACGCUGGCGGCAUGCCUAACACAUGCAAGUCGAGCGGCAGCGGGGGAAAGCUUGCUUUCCCGCCGGCGAGCGGCGGACGGGUGAGUAAUGUCUGGGAAACUGCCUGAUGGAGGGGGAUAACUACUGGAAACGGUAGCUAAUACCGCAUAACGUCUACGGACCAAAGUGGGGGUCCUUCGGGCCUCAUGCCAUCAGAUGUGCCCAGAUGGGAUUAGCUAGUAGGUGAGGUAACGGCUCACCUAGGCGACGAUCCCUAGCUGGUCUGAGAGGAUGACAAGCCACACUGGAACUGAGACACGGUCCAGACGCCUACGGGAGGCAGCAGUGGGGAAUAUUGCACAAUGGGCGCAAGCCUGAUGCAGCCAUGCCGCGUGUAUGAAGAAGGCCUUCGGGUUGUAAAGUACUUUCAGCGGGGAGGAAGGUGUUGUGGUUAAUAACCGCAGCAAUUGACGUUACCCGCAGAAGAAGCACCGGCUAACUCCGUGCCAGCCGCCGCGGUAACAC
rnacentral:rRNA from 1 species